CUUACACAUGCAAGUCGAGCGGUAACAUUUCUAGCUUGCUAGAAGAUGACGAGCGGCGGACGGGUGAGUAACGCGUAGGAAUCUGCCUAGUAGUGGGGGACAACAUGUGGAAACGCAUGCUAAUACCGCAUACGCCCUACGGGGGAAAGGAGGGGAUCUUCGGACCUUUCGCUAUUAGAUGAGCCUGCGUGAGAUUAGCUAGUUGGUGGGGUAAAGGCCUACCAAGGCGACGAUCUCUAGCUGGUCUGAGAGGAUGAUCAGCCACACUGGGACUGAGACACGGCCCAGACUCCUACGGGAGGCAGCAGUGGGGAAUAUUGGACAAUGGGCGCAAGCCUGAUCCAGCCAUGCCGCGUGUGUGAAGAAGGCCUUAGGGUUGUAAAGCACUUUCAGGAGUGAGGAAGGGCGUAUAGUUAAUACCUGUAUGUUUUGACGUUAACUCCAGAAGAAGCACCGGCUAACUCUGUGCCAGCAGCCGCGGUAAUACAGAGGGUGCGAGCGUUAAUCGGAAUUACUGGGCGUAAAGCGCGCGUANGCGGUUUGUUAAGUCGGAUGUGAAAUCC
rnacentral:rRNA from 1 species